AUUCGGCUCAGUAACACGUCGAUAAUCUGCCCUAAGGUUGAGGAUACCCACGGAAAACUGUGGCUAAUACUCGAUAUUGAAUGGAUUCUGGAACGAGUCAUUCAUUAAACGCAAGGCCUUAGGAUGAGUCGGCGGCGGAUUAGGCAGUUGGCGGUGUAACGGACCACCAAACCUUAGAUCCGUAGGGGCCCUGAGAGGGGUAGCCCCGAGAGGGACACUGAAAUACUGGUCCCAGCUCCACGGAGUGCAGCAGGCGCGAAACCUCCACAAUGCGCGAAAGCGUGAUGGGGGGAUCCCGAGUGCUUACAUUAUUGUAAGCUUUUGCCAAGAGUUCACAUCUUGGAGAAUAAGUGGUGGGUAAGACCGGUGCCAGCAGCCGCGGUAACCCCGGCGCCACGAGUGGCAAUCUUUUAUUGGGCCUAAAGCAUUCGUAGCCGGUUUGGAAAAUUCCUUGUGAAAUUGUUGAACUCAAUACAACAGCGUGCAGGGGACACUUCCAGGCUAGAGACUGGGAGGAGUUGGGGGUAUGCCUGGGGGAGCGGUUUAAAUGUGAUAAUCCUAGGUAGACCACCUGUGGCGAAGGCGCCCAACUAGAACAGUUCUGACGGGUGAGGGAUGAAAGCUAGGGGAGCGAUCCCGGAUUAGAUACCCGAGUAGUCCUUAGCUGUAAACACUGCGAGCUAGGUGUCGCAUUAUUUCUACGAGAAUUAUGCGGUGUCGAAACGAAGGUGAUCAGCUCGCCGCCUGGGAUGUACGGUCGGAAGACUGAAAACUUAAGGAAUUUGGCGGAGGAGCA
rnacentral:rRNA from 1 species